rnacentral:lncRNA from 1 species
ACGUGGUUGAUCGGCGUGAGCACUAGGGCUUGUUUAGUUGUCACAGAUGGACCUUGCUCUUGCAAGCUGACAGCACUGUAUCUUCCUGGGCCAGAGGAGUCCCGGGUUACCAAGGAGACCAGGCGAGAAGGAGCACCCCCCUCACCCCCUGCCGACGUGGCCAGGCCCAGGGGACGCAAGGCUGGCUUGGGUGUCUGGAGAGCUGGGUGUGAAGCAUGUGUCUGCUCACAUGGACUCUGGGGCCCUGUCCAAAUUCCUCCCCCCCCCCCCCCAGCGCCAGCAGCAACAGUCAUCCUGCCUCCCCCAGGGGGAGAGCCGGCGCCCUCAGGCUGGAGGGCCCCCAGGCAGCCCUCGAGGACCCUCCCGAGACUGGCGCCUGCCGGGCAGCCAGCUGCAGCUUCUGGUUCUCCGCGGGUCGGGGUGAGUCACCGCCGGCUGAGGUGGGCGAAGGAGGAGCAGACAGCGCCUUUACUCCGCCGCACGCCAGGGGAGGGCGCUCAUGGCCUGACGCAGCCCCUCUGGCCGCUCCCAAGCCCCCACCCAAGCCCUGGAUCCCGGCCUCGCAGCAAGUGGCCAGGGGCUCCUCUCCUGGAAGCGGCAGGAAGCGAAGACUCGCCGGCUCUGAGGACAUGGCCACAACUGAUCCCUCCCCUGAGGCGGAGCGGGGCUGACCCCACUGCCCAUCCCUUUCUGGCCUGGGACCUGGACAGAAACAGAGGACCAAGCAGGAGCGAAGGGAAGAGGCGGAGCCUGGGUGCAGGGGCGGCAGCAGGGCCCCGGAGACCGCAGGCGCGUGUGGCCCAGAGCCCGGGCGCCAGGCUGAGCGGCUGCUCCCAGCUCCAGAGUCCCUGUGCCAGCUGGUCGCGGGCGGGUGGGCACGGGCAGGGCUGCGUGCCAGACACACACAGAGCGCCCUUUGAGGAGGUGGCAGCUGUGGGCCCAGACCCCUCUCUGCUUGCCAUGGCCCCGCCUGCCCCCUGCAGCAGGGCCUUGCUGAGCACAGGGCUCGGGGACACAGAGGUGCACACUCAGGAACACAGCGGUGCACACUUGGGAACCUCCACUCUUGGAGUGCAGGGGCCACCCUGCUUCUCAAGCCCAAAGCCACACCUCCUUUCUGGCCCACUCUAUUUCCUUCAUUGCCGGUGGCCCUGUUAG